rnacentral:lncRNA from 1 species
AAAAAUAGAAAUGUUGAUAAAAAAAAAACUCACAAACUCACUUUUAAGUUGAAAUUAAUGUCAUAAUAUUUUAUAAUUUGUUUAUUAUUUAUUGGUGUCAAAUCUAUCUUAUAUAUUUUUUCAUAAGAUCAUUUUUCUCUCUUAUUUCUUUUUCUUUUUCCUUCUUCGAAACCUAAAACCUAGACAAAGGGAGGGUUGUGCAGUGCAAGAGCAAGAGAGAGGAACAGCGAGACGUAUUGGGAAAAAAGGAGAAGAAGACAGACGGAGAGUGAGAAUUGUGAUAUUCGAAGAGUUUUCGAGUUAAGAGAUCGCCGAAAGGACUUCAGAUUAAGGUAGGAGGAGUUAAACUUUUCUGUUUUGUGAUUAUUAUGAUGUGCGAAGCUUUUAUGCUGAUUCUAUGUCUUUUUGUUCUGGUUGAGUACGAAUUUUUGUGUGUCUGAGUUGUAUUCUCCGUGCCAGGCUAAUGUUUCGUUGGUCCUGCCUUACUGUUUUUGAUUGAGGAUAACGAGAUGUUUUUGGUUGAGACACAGACAUUUUUUUUUUCUUCCAUAAAGAACCAAUUAUUUUCUCCAUUCCUUGUUCUAUGAUAAAUUGCAGGAUAACAUGUGUUGGUUUGACAAGUUUCAGAAAUUUAAUGCAUUUAAGAAUAGUUUUUCUAAAAGUAAGGGACACAGGUGUUUAUAUUUCAUUUUUAUGAGUGUUCUGCACUUUUGAUCUUGUACUACUUUGCUGUGGUUCUUCCUUGAUGGGCCUCGUGGUUCAAUAAGUGGUAUUUUACUCCUCUUAGUGCGUGAAUAUAUAUAUAUAUAUAUAUAUAUAUAUAUAUAUAUAUAUAUAUAUAUAUAUAUUUUUAAGUUGGACAUUUUUUUUUGUGUCUUUUUAAUAGAAAAAUCCAAGGUUUGCAAUAUCCCAAAAGUUAGACAAAACAACAAUUUUUCUCUGCAUAAUUACUUUGUGUUGGGUCAUACCUUUUGCACUUAUGGAUAGGACUUUUUCUAGUUUUUGCACCAAGCUGUUGUCCACUCAUUAAGUCACUGAAUAAGAUCUUUUAGGUGGAACCAAUUUGGCUUUGAUCCAAAAUGCAUGUGUGCUUUGAUUGACAGCUCGUGUAAUUUUCGUUUGGCUAUGCGUUAUUUCUUAAAUUGCUAUGCCAUGCCUUUUAUCCUUAGUUAAGUAGAGCGUUGAUGGAUAGUUAUUCACUUUUAUUCAUGUUAAAUUUAAUAUAGUGCAGGUUUUCCUUUUAGUCACUUCUGAAAUUGUUAUGCCAUGUUUCCUUUUUUAUUAUGCAGUGCCCUAUAUUUAUAUUUUUUAUAUAUUAUUAGACCACUGAAAUUCAUAGUUUAUUAUUCCCAUUUUGUUAUGAUGAAGAUUAAUGAAUUAUGUUGUUUAUUUCUUUAGAUGUUUUGGUACUUGAUGUAUAGAAGUAAAGAUAAUAGGAUAUUAGUUUGGAAUGUAUUUUGGUGUAUGUGAUGUUUGGUGGCUAUCCUAAUGAGCUACAGAUCUAGAAAAGAGUUGGAUAAUGUUUAGCUUUAUAAUCGAUAUAACUGCUGUGGGAUUGAUAGUGGACCUUUGAAUGUGUUUUUAAUUGUUAUUAUAUAUUAUAUGUCGUGGUUGUAUGUUUUAUGCACUUGUAAUGCGCUGUGGAGGAGUUUUUUGCUGUUGUGUAUAAUACACAUGGUGAUAAACUUGAUACGAAUGUUAGUGUAGUCAAAUGGUUUAUAUUGUGGUAUAAAUAGUUAUAGAUGUGUUGGACACUUGGCAAAAUAAUGAUUAUGCCAUGUUAGUAUUCAAGCAACGUGGUUAUGAUAGUUUAUGUUGUGUGUGGUAUUUUAUAAGUUGUUUUAUGAGGAUAGGUAUUGUGUGGUGGUGAAACCAUAUCUGUGUAUGUUCAUUGUUGUUUCGAAUAAAGUAUACAUUUUUAUGCAUUUUGUUUUUGUGUGUGCAUGUGCAAUGAUCGUUAUGUUGUAUUAGAGUUUAUAUAAGAAUGCAAAUGAUUAUACAGGUGUAGAAGAUUAUAUUGACGAGUGAGAGAUGGGAUAAAGACAGGGAAAAUUUAUAAGAGACAUGCAUAUUUAAUAUAUGAUUUUGAAUCGUUUUGUAGUCGUGUAUUUUUAUAUUUAAUCACUGAGUUGUAAAUAUUAAAUAACCAUGAUGUGGAAUAUAGAAAUUUCUUUUUAUAGAUUUCUGAUCGAUUAAAAUAAAAUGAUUCUAUUCAUGAUUCUGAAAAUUUUAAAUUUUUACACAUUUAUGUGAAGGCGUUACAGUAGGUAUUAGAGUCAAUAUGUUUAGGUGACUCACUAAUUGUUAAUCACAUAAUAAUCAUGUCCUCAACAAAGUUUGGGUUUGAGAACCCUUCCGGAGUAUACUACAAAUCACAUUUGAAAAUGAU